rnacentral:rRNA from 1 species
GAUGAACGCUGGCGGCGUGCCUAAUACAUGCAAGUCGAACGAAACUUCUUUAUCACCGAGUGCUUGCACUCACCGAUAAAGAGUUGAGUGGCGAACGGGUGAGUAACACGUGGGCAACCUGCCCAAAAGAGGGGGAUAACACUUGGAAACAGGUGCUAAUACCGCAUAACCAUAGUUACCGCAUGGUAACUAUGUAAAAGGUUGCUAUACUACCGCUUUUGGAUGGGCCCGCGGCGCAUUAGCUAGUUGGUAGGGUAAAGGCUUACCAAGGCAAUGAUGCGUAGCCGAAUUGAGAGGUUGAUCGGCCACAUUGGGACUGAGACACGGCCCAAACUCCUACGGGAGGCAGCAGUAGGGAAUCUUCCACAAUGGGCGAAAGCCUGAUGGAGCAACGCCGCGUGGGUGAAGAAGGUCUUCGGAUCGUAAAACCCUGUUGUUAGAGAAGAAAGUGCGUGAGAGUAACUGUUCACGUUUCGACGGUAUCUAACCAGAAAGCCACGGCUAACUACGUG